rnacentral:rRNA from 1 species
AGUGAACGCUGGCGGUAGGCCUAACACAUGCAAGUCGAACGGCAGCACAGUAAGAGCUUGCUCUUACGGGUGGCGAGUGGCGGACGGGUGAGGAAUACAUCGGAAUCUACUUUUUCGUGGGGGAUAACGUAGGGAAACUUACGCUAAUACCGCAUACGACCUACGGGUGAAAGCAGGGGAUCUUCGGACCUUGCGCGAUUGAAUGAGCCGAUGUCGGAUUAGCUAGUUGGCGGGGUAAAGGCCCACCAAGCCGACGAUCCGUAGCUGGUCUGAGAGGCUGAUCAGCCACACUGGAACGGAGACACGGUCCAGACUCCUAAGAGAGGCAGCAGUGGGGAAUAUUGGACAAUGGGCGCAAGCCUGAUCCAGCCAUCCCGCGUGGGUGAAGAAGGCCUUCGGGUUGUAAAGCCGUUUUGUUGGGAAAGAAAAGCAGCAGGUUAAUACCCCGCUGUUCUGACGGUACCAAAAGAAUAAGCACCGGCUAACUUCGUG